rnacentral:lncRNA from 1 species
UCCCAAAUAAGUUUUAACAAGCAAAUGUAACGAAUGCAUGCGUACGUUACAUAUAUGGAUUUGGACUAGGGUAUACCACGUACAAAAGUAAAUGAAGGAAGCUGUGUUGUAAUGAUGACGAAGGUUGGCGUAUUUAGGGAGUAGAGAGAGAAAAGGAGCUAGGAGUCAAAGUGGCAGCGAGAAACAAGAAUUGCAGAUUUGUCUCCGGCCAAUUCAUUUCAUAAUACUCCUCAUAAGCCCUCUCUCUAGCUGGCUAGCUCUCGUGACCAGAUUUUAACUUUGCAGCAGCUCGUAUUUAUAUUUCUACUUGCAAAAGUUGAUACAAACAGAAUUUACAGACUCUCUCCUUCGUCUCUUCCUUUUCUCCUGAUCUCUCUCUCUCUCCCUCCCUCUUCUCUCUCUCUCCCUCCCUCCUCUCUCUCUCUCUCUCUCCCUCUUAUCUCCCCCUCCCCCUUCUCUCUCUCUCUCUCCCCCUCCCCCUCCCCCUUCUCUCUCUCUGAUCUCUCUCUCUCUCUCUCUCUCUCUCUCUCUCUCUCUCUCAU